rnacentral:lncRNA from 1 species
GCUAUUCCUGUUUGUUAGUUUUUGUUCUAACAGUCGGGCCCCUCAGCUGCAGGUCUGUUGGAGUUUGCUGGAGGUCCAUUCCAGAUAAUGUUUGACUGAGUAUCUCCAGCAGAGACUGCAGAAAAAUAUGCCCUGCCCACAGAGGUGGAAUCGAGAGAGACAGUUGGCCUUGCUGAGCUGCCGUGGGCACCACCCAGUUUGAGCUUCCCAGCAGCUUUGUUUACACUAUGGCUGACUAGCCUAGGAGCAUAAGAUGUCACUUCUCCUCAAAAAGAAGACCACAGCUACUGGUGAAUGGACAUGGCUUGAACGGAAAACUAAGGGAAGAGAGCCGGAACCUGUUGGAGUCCUGAUGGAAAGAAGCUGGGGUGCAGAAAAGAAAAGCAGAAAGAAUCUGGCAGAGAAUAACCCCCUGAGGAACUCGAAGCCCCACAGAAAGGUUGUUUACUCAGACCCAGGGAGUGACUGGUUGUGCAAUGGUGAGCAAAACGAAGCAUCUGCCUUUAACUCAGUGAGAGGAUGACAAUAAAUAAUCAUCAAACACAUCAUUGCAAAAUAGGAAGUGAAAUAAAAAGAAGAGCAUGAUGAAAUAGAGAAUAACAUGGGGUUGUGUAUGGAUGGAAUAAUUAAAGAAGGCAAGGGGAUCCUAAUGAAUGAGAAGAAGACAAAAAUCCUGGAAGGGAAAGAGCUUUCUUGCGGAAGGAAGACUAUAUGCAAAGACCUCAGGAAAAUGAGAAACUGAAAGAUGGGCCCUGUGACUAGCAUGAAGUGGGUGAAGGAGAAAUGAUGUGAAAUUAAAUUGAAGAAGUCAGCAGGAAUUAGACCUCCUACAGCCAUGCUGGCCAAGAUGCAGAGGCCACUUCAUUCCUUGUGCCAUGAGAAGCUUAACCUAAGAGAGAAGUGCCCAGAGGUGGUCUUGACUUUCUACCAAUGAUCCAGAUCUGAAGAUUAUUUUAGUAUCACAUUUCUAUUAUUUCACAGAAAUUGAGUAUAAAUUAAAUUGUAAUCUUUAAGAAGUAUAUAACUAUCAUAUCUCUCAUAGAUUUAAGAUAGCUGAAUAAUAUGAUAAAUUUGGACUUGCAAAAAAAGCAUUUAAUAUCUCCUAUAAAACAAUGCCCUACUAAGUGCUGAAGAUAAAACUUAAAUAGAGUACUCUAAAUCACUGCUCUGUUUAUGAUAUCACAAGAAAAGAUCUACUCUUUAAAUCCGCUGGCAAUGCUUCGCUGUUUCAUCCAGUUCAUUUCAUGUAUGAACUGGACUUACUGAAACAUUUGUAGGAAUACCCUUGCUAGGUAAAACAUGUAUCUGCAAUUUGAUAGCAUUAUUUGCAUUGCUGUCAUUUUGACUACGUAUCAUCUUGUUUUUUCUGCUUUUAGAUGUUCUUAAGGGCACAGUAAAUAGAGCUCCCUAGCAGCUUUUCUUUCCUAUUUGAUCCUCACAAAAACCAUACUUUGGCUGAGUAAAUAUUGUCUCCUUUUUAUAGAUGAAGAGGUACAAGCUAACCUCACUGAGCUUCAGAUUUCUAACCUAGAAAACGGAGGCAAUGAUACUUACCCUGCCAACAUCUCAUACCUACUCAGAUAAAAGAAAAUAAAAUAAUGGAUGGGACAGUGCCUGAAGAAAUAGAUACAUCAUGAAAGAUAAGCUAGGAUUAUUUCAUCAUAAAAUAGGACACUUCUGUAUCAUAAACAUUAUAAUACAGAUGUAUAAAAAGAGUGCAUAUGAUCCAUAUCACAUCUUCAUUUUGUUCUAAGCCCUCAUGGUAAUGAACUUUGAGAUGAAAGAAGACCUAAAUCUGUCACUACAGAGUGGCUCAAUCUCUUACAUUUUAAAACAUCUCCUUUUAGGUUAAUUCCUACCAUUUUUGGCAAAGGGUAAGUCAAUGUAAAGUUGAAAUUCCUCAUUAAGCUAUCUCACCUGAGUGAAAGAUUUCCUAGAAAAUAUGUGUGUACAAGAAGACACUUAUAUAUCCUUAUGGUAUUGUGGCAGGACCCCAGGGGUUAAACCAGCCCCAUGCUCCUCUCUGGCUCCCAUUGGCUCUUGGCUGAGGUAAACUCACUUUACCUGUGUUCAUGUUGGUCGCUAUCAUCUCUGCAUCUGCUUGUGAAGUUUUACAACUAGUAUCAUGCUAAUUUCUUCCCUCAGUCCAGCCAUAGUCCAGCAGUUCACAUCCUGCACCUCAGCCCAACCUCAUUUCUCUCUUCAGAUCAUCUAAGCUUCACCCCUGGGCUCCGUCUGAACCCUGACCAAGUCUGCCCUCUCUUCCACUUCUGGUAGGGGUUCUUUGCUCCCUUCACUACUGCAGCCCCAUUACAAACCUGCUGACUCUCAACCUUCGGUAUCACUGGGGACAUGUGAGAAAUUCUGAAUCUCUUCAGUGCUAUCAACAGGUGUGAGAGAACUGAAGGAAAGGAAGAGGAAUACUUUCUUCCCUGCCUCUCCCUCACGCUAUCCAGUUUCUACACUUGCUGCGUCCGCUUCUUGUAACAAAGGGUGCUCCACCAGGCUACCUCCAACCAGAAUCCCAAACUGGAAAUAGGACACAACUCCAUUCUGUCCCUGCUUUUGAAUUUACAACUAACCUGUCCUUUUUAUUCUACAUCUGUUCCUCACCUUGGGUUUCAAUGAAAAAAUGGGAGAAGAGCAAUGGUACCUUGUGGCUUCUAUCUCUCUCUGUUUCCUUCUCUCAACUCUUGUUCUUUUUCCUGAAACUGCUGUGAACUUCUUUACAUAAUAUUUUCCUUCUUUUCUACUUCUUUUCAUGUGGUGAAUAGUGGAGUGGCAUACUCCAAUUAUCUUGACCAAUAAAGGGAAAUAUAAUCAUGCACCAUGUGUGGUUGAUGACAGACUGCAUCUACAACAGUAGUUUCAUAAAUCAUAAUACUGUAUUUUUUACUCUUAGCUUUUCUCUGUUUAGAUAUGUUUAGAUACACACAUACUUGCCAUUUUGUUACAAUUGCUUACAGACUCAGUAAAGUCACAUGCUGUACAGGCUUGUAGCCCAGGAGCGGUAGGCUUAUACCAUAUAGCCAAGUUGUGUAGUAGGCCAUACCAUCUAGGUUUGUGUUUAAUUAUACUCUCCCAUAUUUGUACAAUAAUGAAACUUCUAAUGACACAUAUCUCAGAAUGUAUCCCCUUUGUUAAGUCAUGCAUGACUGUUUAUCUAUCUGUAUUUUCUACAUUCUAAUCUUUGACAUAUCUCCUCAUACAAUGCUACAAGACUCUCAAGAGCCAGUGACUCGGUUACAAAUUUUUAUAUCAACAGCACAUAACCCAGUGCUUUGCCAACAAUUGACACUCACUAAAAGUUUGUUGAGUGAACAAACGAUUGAGUCUCUUUAAUUUAUAGGUGAAGAAACAGAGGUGAGAGGUUUUGCCCCAAUUAAACAAUCAACUAGAGGCUUAGCUGGGACAAGGUCAAGUACUCUUUCAACAUAAUAUACUACUUUUUACCAUUCUUCCUUAAAUUGCUGGCAAUAUAGAGCCUAGAAUAUGAGACCAAAAUGCUAGGAGGGGAGGAGGAAGAAAUAAUAAAUAAAAAACUUCCCACCAAAGAAAAACCAAGCUUCAUAAAAAAAUCCAAAGGGAAGUAUUUAUAAUUAAUAUAUGGUUAAUUUUCUCUUUGUCCAUACAGCAUGAAGCCAGCUCAAAUCUGUACUCCUAAAAAUCUCUGAAUAGAGAUCUUAUAAAAUGCCAUAAUUCCGCUGUGAUCAACUACUUGUGGUUGUGGGAAUGGAUUAUAGCAAAAAUUCUUAUAGACGUUUUCCCCUAAAAAUAGACAUAGAUAAUAAUACAUGAAAGUUGUAAUAGAAAUUAAAGUCUAUUCAUCUGAAAAUGGAAUUCUCUCAUUUCACUGACUUAAAGUUAAUUACUUAUCAAAAUUAGUAACUGAUCUUUUCUCUCCUAAAAGAUCCAUCCCAUUCAGAAAUCCUGUUGAAGAAAUGGCUAGCUGCUACUCACAGAGUAGUAACAAAUAAGAUUUCAAAUUGCAGCAAACACACUCAAGUACAUUUUGAUAAACACACACCCAAGAAAUUUGGGAAGCUAAGGUUACGAGUUUGAAACGUUAUUUUCUUAAUGAACAGCAGUAGCACUAUUCUCAGGAAACAUACCACAGAGGGAAGUGAGAUUUUAAAUCUAUUUAUUUAUGUUUCUGAAGAGGAUUUAAGUAAUCCUGCUUUUAUACAGCAGGUGCCACAGCAGACCAAAGCUUCUAAUAGAAUAUUAGUGCAGUGAAUUUAUAUCAAGAAUGAUGGCUCUUUUGAAGAAUGCAAUGGUACACAAACAGGAGGAAGUCCAUUCGUCCCUUUAGCUCCUGCCUUCCCAGUUUACCUUCUUUUCUUCACUCCCACAUUGUUAGUUUUUCCCUUUUGUGGGGAGUUGGGAGGAUCUGAGAUGACAUGACAUGUUGCUGCUCAGGGUUUCUAGGCUCUAAUCCCUUAAAACAGUUAUGCGCAUGGGCACUAAGCAGGAAAGUACUCACACAGUGACAUCAUUCUGAAGUAUUAAAAUUUGCCACCAGAAUUGUUUUCCUCUUCAGAGAAUGAGAGCUACAGAUAGUGAUAUUUUGUGUGUGUGUGUGUGUGUGUGUAUGUGUGUGUCCUGUUAGGGAGAAAAAAACACUUGUAAAAUUCUUAGAAACUGAAAAUGCAUCAGUGAAUAGGUCUUUAUGUUGGAUAUUUAUGGGGAAUUUGGUUUGUUUUCUGAUUCUGUUUCAACUUUUAAGGAGCACCGUUAAUGUGAUUAAUUAGCAAGAAUUUAUUGACGUGAAAAAUCUAGACAGCCGAAUAUAUAUGAUUUUUUUAAAUGUAUUUUUUCAGGUGAAACUAUAAACUGGAGGCCUAAUUAAGACCUGCUGUUUCCUGAAAUUUUGUGUGCGCAGCCCUGGGAAGGAAAGUUGCACGGAGCUUUCCUUGAAGGGGUAAUCUUGAGAGAAAAUCCUGGCAUUCUAGUCACUUCUUUCAAACAUAGCCCUUACUUAAGAACCACAGUGAAUUUAUGUCUACGGUAAACAUGAAAGCCUGUUAUGGAACAGGCUUAGGGAAAACUCAAAUCAACGUGAUCAUCAUGAGUUUUGGACUUCAGCUGCUCCUAGCCAAUGUUUCCAAAUUUACGCUGAAACACCAUUAUAGAUCAUACAAUUUUAGCCUGUUGACGUUUUCUUACCUCUUCUUUUCCCGUUACUUUGUUAAGAAUGGAAGUCACUCUUCCUAACAAGAGAGAGAAAAUCACCUUGCAAGAAAUAUAAUAAUUCAAAACUAUUCAUUGUAAAAUAAUUUGACUUUUGAUGAGGUUGCAAAAGGCCUGAAUUGAACAGAUUUCUGACCAGCUCCCACUUUAUCUGCUUUCAUUAGAAAAAAAUUUUUUCCUAAUGUUGCUUUUUUAUUAAAUAGUUC